AAAUAAGAGAACAUGAUGUUGGUUCAGAUCAAAUGCUAUGUAGAGACAUAACACAUGCAAGUUAUAUAAAUACCACUUAAGGGUGGGAAAAAAUAGCGUUAAGGUGAGUGAUAUAAGAUAAAGAAAAAAUCUUAUUCAGAUGUAGGUAAUAGAUAAAAAUCUAGCCAUGGAACUGGAGCCGACGAUAAGCGUCACAACGGCCACAUUGAUGAAAAUCAACUCUUAUAUAGAGCAGCAGUGGGGAAUCUUUGACAAUGGUCUAACGACUGAUCAAGUUAUCUACGAGAAGGAUAUUAAAUAAAAAUCCCGCUUUGCGGGAUUAUAAUAAAUAAUAAAAGAUUAACUAUAAACUUCUAAAUAAUAGUAAUAAUGAUACUAAUUAUGAAAGAGUCCUAACUAAAAUAUGUGCCAGCAGCUGCGGUGUGCGACAAGAAGCUAUUCUUUAUAAUUCAAAAUCUUAUAUUAUUAUCUCUAUAGAUAUAUAAUAAUGGGCCCCGCCCAUAUAAAUAAGAUAUUUUGACAUAAUUCGUAACAAAUUUGUACCUAUCUAAACAUGCGUAAAAAGUAAUUUUUAGGUUUGAAGCUUUAGAGAAAAUGUAAUUUAUAAUUAAUAUCACUAAAAUUAUAAAUGCUAGGUAAAUUUACUAUGGUUAACUAAAGUUAACUACUCGAUGAGACCUCUUUAGGCUAAAUAUUUAUCGCCUUCAUAUAUAGGCCCGCCUUCGGCGGGCCCAUAUAUAUACUUUAUAAAAGUAUUAUUUUUAUCGAAGCGGGGCGAUACCCGCCCACCGAAGGUGGGCGGGCAUUUGUGAUAUUAUCCUUUUUAUUCUCGUCAUAAUUGGCGGGUUUAUUUAUGAGAUGAUUUUUAAUAUUGUCAGGAGUCUGGAUAGAAUCACCGUAUGUCUAUCCUGUUAUAGACGUUUGUACUGAUAGGGGUAAAGAGUAGAACCUAAGGUAAAUAUAGUGUAAAGAAUGGAACUUGGUAAGCCUCAUAUUUUCUAUAUAAAUAUACCCCCCCCGCCCGUAGGGCGGGGGGAUGAUAAUAACCCGCCCCUUUCAGGGGCGGGAUAUAUUAUGUAUAAAUCAUGUUAUUUAUAUAGAGGUUAUUUAUAAAAUAUAAUAUAUGGAAAUAAUAAUAUCGAAUAGGAGGUAAAAGACAACUUAAAAAGCGAAAGCAAUAAUGUAAUGUUAUUGAUAAGUAAAUAACUAACCUGAAAGGGUGCUGACUUAAGGAAAGGGUGUUUUUUUUUUAAGAAAAUGCCUGAGCCGUAUGCGAUGAAAGUCGCAUGUACGGUUCUAAAGGGGGGAAAAUCUGUGAGGAUCUACCUAUCCUAAUUAGACAUAGAGGGCAAGCAUUGAUCAGAAUGGCUUAAAGGAUCUGUAGAACGUAUCUUAAAAAAGAUAUAGAAUAAUAACUUGAAAAAGGAAGGGUAAUAAGAAUUAAAGUUAGAGGGAUAAAAUACUAAGAAAACAUUAAGACUAUAAGGAGAUUACUCAAGAUUAUUGACGUUGUGAGAUGAAGGCUACGGUAGCGACAUGGAUUCGAUACCCAUUUAGUCGUAGCAGUUAACUAUGAGUACAAUAAAAGAAAAAUGAAAAUGAAUAGUACUCCGCCUGACUAGUACGCUCGCAAGGGUGAAAUACAAGACAUUAGACGGUUGUAGUCCCAAGCAGUGGAACAUGUCAUUUAAUUGGAUGAUCCUCCAAGAACCUUACCAUCUCUUGAAUUUUUAACAGGCGUUACAUCGUUGUCGUCAGUUCAUGCCGUGAGGUUUAAUAUUAAGUUAUUGAAUGAACGUAACCCUUUUCUUUAAUGAUAAGUAUAAUUGUAAAAUUAUAGGAAGUAGAGGUAGAAGACUAAUCAUGAUGACCCUAAUGAGAUGGGCUAUCGACGUGUUACAAUAUUAAUAACAAUUUUAUUAACUUCCCCUUUUUGGGUAAGUUAAGAUAUUUAUAUACUUCGUAUAUUUAUUAAAUAUUAAGAUUAUGACAUAGUUUCAUUUAUGAAUUGUAAUCUGAAAUUCGGUUACAUAAAGGAGGAAUUGCUAGUAAUCGUAAACUAGAGUGUUACGGUGAAAUUUUUUGCUACUUCGUACUAACCACUCAUCAACAGCAAGAAAUUUUAUUUAUACUUAUUGAGUCUUUAUUAAAAGGACUUGCUGUAAGUUGAAAUACGGUUCGGUUAGGGGAACCUGAUCGGGAUUUAUUUAUUUA
rnacentral:rRNA from 1 species